GACGAACGCUGGCGGCGUGCUUAACACAUGCAAGUCGAACGGAAAGGCCCUGCUUUUGUGGGGUGCUCGAGUGGCGAACGGGUGAGUAACACGUGAGUAACCUGCCCUUGACUUUGGGAUAACUUCAGGAAACUGGGGCUAAUACCGGAUAGGAGCUCCUGCUGCACGGGGGGGGAUGGAAAGUGUCGGCGGUUGGGGAUGGACUCGCGGCUUAUCAGCUUGUUGGUGGGGUAGUGGCUUACCAAGGCUUUGACGGGUAGCCGGCCUGAGAGGGUGACCGGCCACAUUGGUCCUGCGAUACGGCCCAGACUCCUACGGUAGGCAGCAGUGGGGAAUAUUGCACAGUGGGCGGAAGCCUGAUGCAGCAACGCCGCGUGCGUGAUGACGGCCUUCGGGUUGUAAACCGCUUUCGCCUGUGCCGAAGCGUGAGUGACGGUAAUGGGUAAAGAAGCACCGGCUAACUACGUG
rnacentral:rRNA from 1 species